rnacentral:rRNA from 1 species
CAGCAGCCGCGGGAAUACGAAGGGUGCAAGCGUUACUCGGAAUUACUGGGCGUAAAGCGUGCGUAGGUGGUGGUUUAAGUCCGUUGUGAAAGCCCUGGGCUCAACCUGGGAAUUGCAGUGGAUACUGGGUCACUAGAGUGUGGUAGAGGAUAGUGGGAUUUCCGGUGUAGCAGUGAAAUGCGUAGAGAUCGGAAGGAACAUCUGUGGCGAAGGCGACUAUCUGGGCCAACACUGACACUGAGGCACGAAAGCGUGGGGAGCUAACAGGAUUAGAUACCCCAGUAGUCCCUGUCUCUUAUAC